rnacentral:tRNA from 1 species
UGGAGUAUAGCCAAGAGGCAAGGCGUCGGAUUUUGAUUCCGUGAGCAAAGGUUCGAAUCCUUUUACUCCAG